AGGGACUUCCUGGCAAGGACGGAGAGACCGGAGCCGCCGGACCCCCAGGACCCGCCGGCCCGGCAGGAGAGAGGGGAGAGCAAGGAGCCCCCGGCCCCUCCGGCUUCCAGGGGCUGCCAGGGCCACCAGGUCCCCCCGGCGAGAGCGGCAAACCCGGAGAUCAGGGUGUUCCUGGAGAAGCUGGAGCUCCCGGGCUUGUGGGUCCCAGGG